GACGGGCAGACCACCUGAGCUCAGGAGCUCAAGACCAGCCUGGGCAACAUGGCAAAACCCUGUCUCUACUAACACUAUAAAAAGUUAGCUGGGCGUGUUGGUGCAUGCUGUAGUCCCAGCUACUCAGGAGGCUGAGCCACGAGAAUCGCUUGAACCUGGGAGAUGGAGGUUGAAGUGAGCCAAGAUCGCACCAUUGCACUCCAGCCUGGGGAAAAAAAAAAGCCAGGCCUCCUAAUGUACUCAUUUAAACAUCACUUGUGUCCACCUGGGUUCAGAAUUGCGCUGGACAUGGGAUACACAAAGCGGGAGUGGAAUUUUCAGGAAGCAGCUGUGCUGUGGGUGACGGUCAUACUUUAUUCUCUAAAACUCUCCAGUUUCAAUUGGCCUCUUGGUGCCAAAGCACCAUGGCGUGUUACACCUAUCAGAUCGGGCACACUGCCCCUUCUUCCCAACCUACGAGCUGAAAUGGCCAGCACUGCGCCUUCCAGAACCCAGCGUAGAUGCACAGCUGCCACGGAGGUAGGAAGAAUGAUUCGUUUGCCACCAAAAGCCCAGUUUCUCCAACAGGUGAAUCCCUAGGCCAGCCCGGCCCCUUCCCACACACCCCUACCCCGAGACGGGUGCAGAAUCAGCAGCGGGGAUCAUCCAGAGACUCUCGCAGUCCACGGCAGGUGUCGGAGUGGGCCUCAUUCCAGAGUUGUGGUGGCCGCUCCACCUGGCGAGCUUCGAGGGGACUCCGGCAGGCGCUCGCUGUGGGGUCCUCCCACCAGUCUUCUCAGCACAGGAACGGUGCCUUCACAUUGGUCUUCCGGGGCUUAAAAGCAUAUCAUUCCUGCUUGCUCUUCAGAUGCAAACUCCCCCUCCAAGGAUACCUCCAGGUUCCCUGCCAGCUCACUUGACUCACAUGGCAAUGGUCACCGGGCUGCCUGAGCCCAAAUCAAGCACCGUUUAUUAGGGGGAAGCUCCGUUAUCCAGAAAGCUCAUCUUUGAAGAGCUACCCAUUUCCUGCCAAAGUUGUGGCGGGAAGGCCUUAGGUACUAGAAAACCUUGGGGAAUGGCAAUUAAAGGAUUAUCAUUCUUACUUAUUUGUUUGGAUAAGCAGCAAUCACCCUUCGGAUGCUUAUUGGUGAGAAUAUUUCUAAAAGUGUCCUGCACAUUUCCCUGCUUUGAUGAAUGGAACGGCAGGGCAGGAUUUAACUGUCUGAUGGCUACGGUUUUGGGAAAGUGCCAGAACCUCCACGUCAGCCACCCCAGAGCCACAGGCAGGGUAUGAGCCACAGCAAUGGGCCCCAAGAAAGAGCCCCACACCCACCAUGGUCCACGGAAGACGCUGCUUACUGGCCCCGGGUUACCUGGAGUCAUGUGCAUUCUCCUUACAUCAAGUGAAGAUAAUAUUUUGUUUCCUUCCCACUUUUUCUCUAACACAAGCCACCCCAGUUCUCCCUUCUGACAACAGGCAAGUGGACCCUAGUAGACCUUCCAGAAAAGCCUUAGAGAGCACCCCCAAAUGCUCACAUUUGUCAGCUGUAAUUCCACCCUCAGUUAAAACCUGAUUCUCAAUGUGACUUGGCCAACGCAGCUUGCAAAGCAAGAACGUCUUCAUCUAAGGUUGAAAACAUCAGUUGUUUGGGUUGUGAGAAAAGAAAAGCCCACAAGGUUUCCGAGGCUUGGUGCUGUUUCUCACUGUCCUCAGCUCCUGAUUCUGCAGCUGGUUCUCUCUCCAAGCACUAGCAAAACCCUGCCCUAGGAGCCCCCAGACUCUGAGAGCCCAUGACCAAAAAGAAAAGGAAAGCCAAGUUGGGGAAGAACAGGGGCCCCCAACUCCACAGCCCUCCACUCUGCCCAGAGGGCCCACCCUGGGCUGCCUGGAACCCCCUAAAGUUGCCACCCCCGCAACACAGUAGUGGGGCAGUUCCUGGCAGCGCCUGCAGCCCAUGGGCUGGCUCUGUACCCGCAGCCCCGCCAAGCGUCUGUUAUCUUAUUUACUGGAAUCUGCACAGCCAGGCUCUAGCUCACCGGUGACUAAGGAGCUGCAGCCAUUAUUACCAGGCAGAUGGCAGACUCCCUAAAAGCAGACAUUAAACAAUAAAAUGCCACCACAUACCUUGCCCACAAAAUAAAAUCAAAACAAACACCUAA
rnacentral:lncRNA from 1 species